rnacentral:lncRNA from 12 species
AUGCCUACUUGCAAUGGCCUAACUAAUGACUCUAGGACUGGAUUGUUUGGGAAGGAAAGAGAGGGGAGGGGAGAGUCCUCACAACUACCUGAGAAUUCUAAUCUUACACAUCAACCUCUGCCAAAGGGAGGAGCGGUUUGGCCAUCACAGAAUCCUAAACAACAGGGAGAGGACUUUGAAUAAUCCAAUUCAUACCAUUUUCCUUUCUGUAAACAACUACAAUCUCCAUGAAAUCUUGGAGGAUAAUAUGAGGAUGAAAGAAAAAGACAACUGUGACUGUUUUGUUGUUCAUCUGAUAGCUCUAUAUGCCUUCUGAAAAAUUAAAUGUUGAUAAUCGUGGAAAAUAUAGCUUCCAAAUAAGUAAUUCAAAUCACUCACUGAGAAUCUCACAUAAUUCUUUGUUUUGUAAGUCAUUCAUAUAGAAUGUGCCACAUACUGGAACCCAGAGACGUCCUCCAACAAUGUAAAAUGACAAUCUGCUAUGCAACCCCCAUUUUUAAAAAAAAUAAAGGCAUAGCUUCCUUCCA